AUUUAGUUGGCGAGUCCCAAAUAGGACGAAGUGGCGUACGUCCUGGAU
rnacentral:hammerhead_ribozyme from 1 species